UCACGUAGGGGAAAGGGAGGAGA
rnacentral:piRNA from 1 species